AGAGUUUGAUCCUGGCUCAGAACGAACGCUGGCGGCGUGGAUAAGAUAUGCAAGUCGAACGGGACUUUCUGUUGUAGCAAUACGAGGGAAAGUUCAGUGGCGAUCGGGUGCGUAACACGUGGGCAAUCUGCCUUAAAGUGUGGGAUAGCUCGGCGAAAGCCGAAUUAAUACCGCAUGUGGCUACUGGAGACAUCUUCGGGACGCUAAAGGUGGCGCAAGCUACCGCUUUUUGAGGAGCCCGCGGCCUAUCAGCUUGUUGGUGAGGUAACGGCUCACCAAGGCGUUGACGGGUAGCUGGUCUGAGAGGACGACCAGCCACACUGGGACUGAGACACGGCCCAGACACCUACGGGUGGCAGCAGUCGAGAAUUUUUGACAAUGGGGGAAACCCUGAUCGGGGGACGCCGCGUGGAGGAUGAAGGUCUUCGGGUUGUAAAAAACCGGUCAUUUGGGAACAAGGCGCGUGUAUUAACUGUACGUGCGUGAUAGUCCAGAAAGAGAAGGGACU
rnacentral:rRNA from 1 species